GGGUACCCACUUUGGCAGCCCCUACACCAAAAUCGGAAUACAGAGAAGAAUUAGCAUAGCCCUGCUCAAGGAUGACAUGCAAAUUCAUGACAUGUUCCAUAUUUUU
ensembl:snRNA U6 U6 spliceosomal RNA